AUUGAACGCUGGCGGCAGGCCUAACACAUGCAAGUCGAACGAGUGGCGGACGUGUGAGUAAUGUCUGGGAAACUGCCUGAUGGAGGGGGAUAACUACUGGAAACGGUAGCUAAUACCGCAUACCAUCAGCUGUGCCCAUAUGGGAUUAGCUUGUUGGUGGGGUAACGGCUCACCAAGGCGACCAUCCCUAGCUGGUCUGAAAGGAUGACAGGACACACUGGAACUGAGACACGGUCCAGACUCCUACGGGGGGAAGAAGUGGGGAAUAUUGCACAAUGGGCGCAAGCCAGAUGCAGCCAUGCCGCGUGGAUGAAGAAGGCCUUCGGGUUGUAAAGUACUUGCAGCGGGGAGGCGUUACCCGAAGAAGAAGCACCGGCUAAAUCCGUGCCAGCAGCCGCGGUAAUUA
rnacentral:rRNA from 1 species